rnacentral:rRNA from 1 species
GAUGAACGCUGGCGGCAUGCCUAAUACAUGCAAGUCGAGCGAAGCGGGGACGGGUGAGUAACACGUGGAUAACCUCCUAUAAGACUGGGAUAACUUCCGGAAACCGGAGCUAAACCGGAUACUUAUCGAUGGAUCCGCGCUGCAUUAGCUAGUUGGUAAGGUAACGGCUUACCAAGGCAACGAUGCAUCGCCGACCUGAGCGGGUGGUCGGCCAAACUUGAACUGAGAACCGGUCCAGACUCCUACGGGAGGCAGCAAUAGGGAAUCUUCCGCAAUGGGCGAAAGCCUGACGGAGCAACGCCGCGUGAGUGAUGAAGGUCUUCGGAUCGUAAAACUCUGUUGUUAAGGAAGCGGUACUUAACCAGAAAGGGACGGCUAACUACGUGCCAGCCGCCGCGGUAAUUC